rnacentral:rRNA from 1 species
UACGUAGGGGGCAAGCGUUGUCCGGAAUCAUUGGGCGUAAAGCGCGUGUAGGCGGUCCGGUAAGUCCGCUGUGAAAGUCGGGGGCUCAACCCUCGGAUGCCGGUGGAUACUGUCGGGCUAGAGUCCGGAAGAGGCGAGUGGAAUUCCUGGUGUAGCGGUGAAAUGCGCAGAUAUCAGGAGGAACACCGGUGGCGAAGGCGGGUCUCUGGGCCGAUACUACGUGAGGAGCGAAAGCGUGGGGAGCGAACAGG